CAGCCGCCACGGGAAUACGUAGGUGGCAAGCGUUGUCCGGAAUUAUUGGGCGUAAAGGGCUCGCAGGCGGUUUCUUAAGUCUGAUGUGAAAGCCCCUGGCUCAACCGGGGAGGGUCAUUGGAAACUGGGAAACUUGAGUGCAGAAGAGGAGAGUGGAAUUCCACGUGUAGCGGUGAAAUGCGUAGAGAUGUGGAGGAACACCAGUGGUGAAGGCGACUCUCUGGUCUGUAACUGACGCUGAGGAGCGAAAGCGUGGGGAGCGAACAGGAUUAGAUACCCGCGUAGUCCCUGUCUCUUAUAC
rnacentral:rRNA from 1 species